UAAAAUAAACCCAAGGAAGGAGUGCCCUUAAGGUAUCUCAGAACAUGCAGGGCAGCAGUCAUAUGGGGAAGUCUGGGGCAUUUGAGGAAUUGACUCAUAUGUUGGACUGCAAAGCAUAUGUUAGGCCUAGUAUGAGUCAGAAACACAUCUUACCAACUAGACUCCUGUGCUGGUCAGGAGAGGAUAAAAGGUCACCAGAAUCAGCAUGAAGUUUGACAUUAAUGUCCAAAGGGCAUAACUUGUCAGGAGAUGAUAAAAGGUCACCAGAAUCAGUAUGAAGUUUGACAUUAAUGUCCAAAAGAGACACAACAUAGGAGACAUUUGUACAAUCAAAUUGAUGCAGUAAAUCAGAAAUAUACUUAUGCUGAUUAAGGAUCAUUCCACCAGGAACAACUGACAUUUCAAGACCUAAAAAAUAAAGCAAAGAUCCCAAGUCUUUGAUCUUAAACUGAUCAUCCAGAAACAGUUUCAGUGCAGUAAUUUCAUCAAUGUCAUCCCCAGUAAGGAUAAUAUCAUCCACAUAGACUGCCACCACCACAAGGGAGCCAGGUUUACCUCUGAUGAACAAAGAAUAAUCAUUCAAAGAAUGUUUGUAUCCUCUGGAAUAAAGAGCAGAAGACAACUUGGCAUACCAUUGUCUGGAUGCUUGUCUUAGCCCAUUAACAAGACCAUCAAACUCGUAUUUGAUUUUAUAGACCCACUUACAGCUAAUGGGUUUCUUACCAGGAGGAAGAUGAACAAUAUCCCAAGUAUGAUUAGCCUCCAAAGCAUCAAACUCCUGUCUCAUUGCACCCUGCCAUGCUGGGAUAGAUGCAACUUGAGAGUAAUACAUAGGUUCAGAUUCCAAAGUGGAGAAAGAGGAACCAGAAAAUGCAGACAGUUGACAGACAUAAUCCUUAAGGUAGGAAGGAGGAUUAUGCUGUCUAGUGGACUUUUUAGGUGUGGGAAGAGAAUGUGAAGGAGGUAACACAGGAGUAGAGAGAUCAGGAUUGAAAGAAGGGAGGGAAGAUGGACCAGCAUCAGGAAAAUCAGCUUCAGGAGAAUCAGAAGGAGAAGGAAGAACAGGAGAAUCAGGGGAAGUAAGUAUAGGAAAGUCUGAGGCAGUGAAAUCAUCAGCAGGAGGAAUAGAAGGAAAAUAUGAAGAAGAAGGGUGAGUAGAAGUAGGUUUAUUCUU
rnacentral:lncRNA from 1 species